rnacentral:rRNA from 1 species
UUGGAGGGCAAGUCUGGUGCCAGCAGCCGCGGUAAUUCCAGCUCCAAUAGCGUAUAUUAAAGUUGUUGCAGUUAAAAAGCUCGUAGUUGAAUUUCGGGGUUAGCAGGUUGGUCGUGCCACUGGUAUGAACUGGCCUUGCUGAUUCCUCCCUCUUGAUGAGCCGUAAUGCCAUUAAUUUGGUGUUGCGAGGAAUCAGGUCUGUUACUUUGAAAAAAUUAGAGUGUUUAAAGCAGGCAAGCGCUUGAAUACAUUAGCAUGGAAUAAUGAAAUAGGACGUUUGAUCUUAUUUUGUUGGUUUCUAAGAUUGACGUAAUGAUUAAUAGGGAUAGUUGGGGGCAUUAGUAUUCAAUUGUCAGAGGUGAAAUUCUUGGAUUUAUUGAAGACUAACUACUGCGAAAGCAUUUGCCAAGGAUGUUUUCAUUAAUCAAGAACGAAAGUUAGGGGAUCGAAGACGAUCAGAUACCGUCGUAGUCUUAACCAUAAACUAUGCCGACUAGGGAUCGGAUGAUGUUAAUUUUUUAAUGACUCAUUCGGCGCCUUACGGGAAAC